GUCAUAUCUGUGAAGUGUAAACGGACGCGACAACUGAUUGAUGACGAUCUGCAUGCCUACAGUCGGAUAUCUCAAAGCAUAAAACAGAUGAGCUUGCUGACAUGCAUCAGCUAUGACUGAUGUGGAGUCAUCGUCCUAUGAAGACUUUAUAGCCUCAGGAAGAACUGGAAGAAGGAAUGCUAUACACGCAGGAAACCUCGAUUCCAGCCAAUUAUCUGAGUCACUAUCAAAGCUCAAAACUGGUGGUGAUGAAGGUGAGCAAAGCCAGGACACCUCAGGCUCCCCUCCUAAGCCAGAGGAGACUAAAGAGCAGGGCACCUAACUGCUAACUGAAACCUGUCAGGGCAUUGGUUAGGGACGGGGGAAUCAUCUCCCAGCCACCUACCCCACCCCCUUUCCCCCCUCCUCAUGCUUCCCCCGCUGUGAACCUCCUCAAGCCCCAUCCUCAUCUGUGAGAUCAGGCCAUGGAUGCGGCGCUGGUCAGGCCGGCGAGAGACACGUCCAUGUCCGUCCGCUCGGCUGCGCGCACAGGCCCGGGGUCAGGGCUCGACCCAGAACAGCCGCCGGACCCGACGGCGCGGCGGCGGCGGCUACCGGUCAGCGGCGAGGGCUGAGAGGACGCCCCAAACCCCUUCCACCGUUACUGCGACCGCCGCCACUGCCGCAGAGGACCUCUCCAGUGACCUGCCGCUGCCCCUUCCUCAGCCAUUCCUGUAGCUGAAAGUUGCCUAGGAAACGCCACCGUAGGCAGGCUGCUUGCGGCACCGCCGCACCUGAUAUCCAACGAGUCGUCCCCUAGGGAGGCUCACUUGUUUUUUUGGGGGCAAUGAGGCGAGUGGGGGGGUGGGGGUGUUGGGUAAGACGUGACCGUUCUGUCGUCCGGGUUGGACUUGUUGACUCGCACCUAUACUUAGACAAAGAUUUUUGAUCGACAAAUCAAGCUGCCAAAGUUGUUAGUCUUCACAUAUUUACCACUCAGUGGCUUUUAGGUGUUAUGUGACCGCAUCCCAUAGUUCACCCUCUGCUGUUUACCAAUAUAUUCGUAUAGGAGAAAAUACUUUUGUAUUCUUUGUGUAGGUAUGUUUAUUUAUUAACUUUAUGCUGCCGUCAUAUAGUAAUAUUUGCACAGGACAGGUUUGUGUACAGUAUACCAUGUAACACAUUGAAAAAUCCAACCAGCAUGUGUGUUAGUAGCAUUGUGUGAGAAAAAAAAACACUAUCAAGGUCCUUUUAUAUGGAAGAGCUGUAACUGCCAGGUCAAAGUUUUGACAGUGUCGCCAAUCUACUGCCCGUGUAACCAAGAGUCAAGACUGUGAUUAGACACACUGUGGAGACGGCAUGCUUUUCAUGCUGUUUCACUCUGUCGUGGAAUGGUUGAGAUUUUUUCCGCCUGUGUAUCAGUCAAGUGUAAACCGUACAGUGAUGCUCCUGCUAAGGCCUUGAGUUUGUGGUCGAUACUUCUUUUCACACAGAGAAUAAAGUGCUUAAAAUCUACAAGAUGGCUUCUUGUAAUGAAGAAUUACUAUCACUAAUAGUGAAGGAGUUUGAAUACAGUAGUUCAUUUCAAAAUGUAAUUUACGCCAGUAGCUCACCAGUCAGCAAAGGUGUGUUAUAGAUGCAGUAUGAAGCCUAUUGUUGCGGAGAGAUACAGUAUGUGUUAGGCUACUCAUAUAUACAGUAUCAUAUUCAUAUCCUAUUAGGCAAUUAUGUUUAUAAAUUUCUGAUUCAAUAUACAUGUUUGUGUUCUUUUGAUGUAACUUGUGUGUGUCAGAGUGAAGGAAGAAUGGCUGGACUGCUUGUUUUUGUGACAGUAAACUUUUGAUCAGCCUACAUUUUGAUUGAAAAUGCAGCUUUUGUUGUACUGGUUUUGACCACUAGAUGGGACUAUUUUUAGAUUUUCAUAUUGGGCUCCCUUAGACACCCAUCAAGAAAACAUUGCCACUCAGUGGACAGAAAGUGAACCUGCAGUUUUUAUACGCAGUAGACCUUAGAUCACCAGCUACUGGAAAGAAGUGCACACAUUUUGUUGAGUUCAGACAAUGUUUUUGUGGAAAAUUAAGCAUAAAUGCUCUAAAAAUGAGAGAAUUGAUUGGGGAUUUCUUAACAGUAGUUUUUCUUUAAUUCACUCUGUCCCGUCGCUGAGAUAUUCACGUUGUACUGCUUUUGACCUUCUCUUUGACUUCAUUCUACCAGCUCCCUAAGCUGCCUCUCAGCCAUGCCACAUCAGGGCCAGAUCUGGGCCAGAGACACUAAGACAGUCUCCCUUAACAAAGCGUUCAGCAGCACCUCCAGCUGCUUCUCCU